UACGUAGGGGGCUAGCGUUGUCCGGAUUUAUUGGGCGUAAAGAGCGUGUAGGCGGCCAGGUAGGUCUGCUGUGAAAACUCGAGGCUCAACCUCGAGACGUCGGUUGAAACCACCUGGCUAGAGUCCGGAAGAGGAGAGUGGAAUUCCUGGUGUAGCGGUGAAAUGCGCAGAUAUCAGGAAGAACACCCGUGGCGAAGGCGGCUCUCUGGGACGGUACUGACGCUGAGACGCGAAAGCGUGGGGAGCGAACAGG
rnacentral:rRNA from 1 species